AGGACGAACGCUGGCGGCGUGCUUAACACAUGCAAGUCGAACGGAAAGGCCCUUCGGGGUACUCGAGUGGCGAACGGGUGAGUAACACGUGGGUGAUCUGCCCUGCACUUCGGGAUAAGCCUGGGAAACUGGGUCUAAUACCGGAUAUGACUACGAAUCGCAUGGUUUGUGGUGGAAAGCUUUUGCGGUGUGGGAUGGGCCCGCGGCCUAUCAGCUUGUUGGUGGGGUGAUGGCCUACCAAGGCGACGACGGGUAGCCGGCCUGAGAGGGUGUCCGGCCACACUGGGACUGAGAUACGGCCCAGACUCCUACGGGAGGCAGCAGUAGGGAAUCUUGCGCAAUGGGCGAAAGCCUGACGCAGCCAUGCCGCGUGAAUGAUGAAGGUCUUAGGAUUGUAAAAUUCUUUCAGCGGGAAGAUAAUGACUGUACCCGCAGAAGAAGCUCCGGCUAACUUCGUGCCAGCAGCCGC
rnacentral:rRNA from 1 species